UUGCUGCCCCCACACGCUCAAACCCUCUGCUCAACCGGGUCUCUCUCCUCACCUCGUCGUCAUCACGGCGGCCGCCGGGCAGAUCUGGGGCUUAAUUUGCUGCAGAUCCCGGGAGCGACGGGGCUUAACCCACUGCAGACGGGGGAGACAGGGCGGGCGCCGGAGCGCUCCCUGGAGGCGCUAGUGCUUACCUCUCGUGGAAGCUUUCAGGGUUGGGAUCCCGGCGAGCGGCGUCAUCAGCUCCGGCACUUACCUCGACUCCCAGAUGAGCAUGGCAGAAGAAAGUACGAGAUUUCUAUUAGGACAAGGCUGCUGCCACUUGAACUAUUGCAGGGAUUGUUACACUUGCGCCCGUGCAGACGUGCUCAUGUGUCUCCAUGUGUGGCUCUCUAAUCAGAUCCAGGCGCUGCCUCCCUAUGCAGCAGGGGCCAGACUAUGCGCCGCCCUAGGCAUAGUCGGAUCUCUAAUCAGAUGAGCUGCCUCCACCGUUGUACGUAUGUUAAGCUGGGACAAUUAAACUGCAUGUGGUAAGUGAUUGACCAUCUACUGAUUGAUUUUGCAGAUCUGGCAAUCUGGAUAGCUAAACAUGUUAUAUAGUGGCCUCUAAGAUUUAGGACGUCUUCUUUUUCGGGGAAUGAUUCAGGCAUUUGAAACAUGUGGAAAAGCAUAUAUAGAAUUAGAUAAUUAAUCUCACAGUUGGUCAUAUUAUGAUGCUCGGUAAGGUUAAUAAGUUAUACGGUAAAAUUUUAUGUCUUUGUCGUGCUUCUCAGAAAAGAUAAUGGUAAUAGCAAUAAUCUGCCACUAUUUAUGAAGAAAAACAUUUGUAUGUACUGUAUUUGCAGCACUUAGUUGCAUGGUUCUCUUGGUUCUUUAAAAAAUAUAGGUUAACUUGAGCUAAUUUAUUAGCAUGUGUAUGAGCAUAGUUACGAGGCAUCCAAAGCAAGGAGAGGAUGGGAUGAACAGAACAAUUUCCAAAUUUGACCCGUAUUUGGUCAGGCAAGGUGGUGCUAGCUUAACUCAUGAAUAAGGGAACACUAUAUCAACCUGUGAAGAAUGCUGACAUCGAGACAAAGAGUGAGCACCCCAAGGGUUAAUGCGUGGCGUACAAGGAAUGGCAUGUAGGUAGUUAUCCCCCAUGGGCACAUAGACCAGGAUACAUUGUAUCUCAGGAUAUAGGAAACACAAAAGAGGUGAGCUAAGGUACGCGCCCUUCUAAAAUUUCUAGAAAGAUGUUCAAGCUGGAGAAUGUUCUCCAAUGGGAUGAAGAAUGAAGGCUUUGAUGUCAAGUGCGAGAGCGAUGAAACAAUCUUGCUGGGAAGCCGCGAGGAUGAGUAGUGGUUGCCCACUACAAGGAGCCAAGGCAGAUGUUGUUUUGCAGAAAACAAAGUGAUGAACUUUUGCUCCGAGGCAAUGAACUAUCAUGUUUCCUCUAUUUAAUUAGUUACAUUAGUUUAUUUAUAGAAAACUUGGCUGGUCAUUGAUUCAUAACAAAUGAACUAUUUAUAUGUGAAAAUUAAUGAAUGUGUGUGACUAUUGUUUGGUUC